rnacentral:lncRNA from 1 species
GCCAGGCCUAGGCUCUCCUCCCUGGGAGUGCAGGCCAAGGGGAGGGGCAGGAGAGCACAGGAUGAUGGAUAUUUGCACAAAACAGGCUGUGUUCUGGACAGCAGUGUUCUGGAAGUGAGUCCUGGGUCCCUUCACAGCCACCUUCAGCCGCUGCUCAUGUGAGAGGAGAGUCGGCCUGUGGACACACGGUGCUGGGAUACCCAGAAAAACCAAGAUUCAGAAUGGUCUUUUCUUUGGCAUCCCUCCUUUGGCCAGUCACCAUCUCUACUGCUCACUUACCAGCCAUACUGUGUGAACCUGCAGGAAGAGAGAAUGGAGGUGACCCCAACGUGUGGCUAACCUUACCAUCAGCCCAG